GGGUGAGUAACACGUGGAUAACCUACCUAUAAGACUGGGAUAACUUCGGGAAACCGGAGCUAAUACCGGAUAAUAUAUUGAACCGCAUGGUUCAAUAGUGAAAGACGGUUUUGCUGUCACUUAUAGAUGGAUCCGCGCCGCAUUAGCUAGUUGGUAAGGUAACAGCUUACCAAGGCAACGAUGCGUAGCCGACCUGAGAGGGUGAUCGGCCACACUGGAACUGAGACACGGUCCAG
rnacentral:rRNA from 1 species